GAUGAACGCUGGCGGCGUGCCUAAUACAUGCAAGUCGAGCGAACGGACGAGAAGCUUGCUUCUCUGAUGUUAGCGGCGGACGGGUGAGUAACACGUGGAUAACCUACCUAUAAGACUGGGAUAACUUCGGGAAACCGUAGCUAAUACCGGAUAAUAUUUUGAACCGCAUGGUUCAAAAGUGAAAGACGGUCUUGCUGUCACUUAUAGAUGGAUCCGCGCUGCAUUAGCUAGUUGGUAAGGUAACGGCUUACCAAGGCAACGAUGCAUAGCCGACCUGAGAGGGGGAUCGGCCACACUGGAGCUGAGACACGGUCCAGACUCCGACGGGAGGCAGCAGUAGGGAAUCUUCCGAAAUGGGCGAAAGACUGACGGAGCAACGCCGCGUGAGUGAUGAAGGUCUUCGGAUCGUAAAACUCUGUUAGUAGGGAAGAACAUAUGUGUAAGUAACUGUGCGCAUCUUGACGGUACCGAAACAGAAAGCCCCGGCUAACUACGU
rnacentral:rRNA from 1 species